GGCGGCGUGCCUAAUACAUGCAAGUCGAACGCGAAAGUCCCGCAAGGGAUGAGUAGAGUGGCAAACGGGUGAGUAACGCGUGGGUGACCUGCCUUCGAGUGGGGGAUAACGUCCCGAAAGGGACGCUAAUACCGCAUGACAUCCUGUUUUUGAACAGAUGGAGAUCAAAGCUGGGGAUCGCAAGACCUGGCGCUCGAAGAGGGGCCCGCGUCCGAUUAGCUAGUUGGUGGGGUAACGGCUCACCAAGGCAUCGAUCGGUAGCCGGCCUGAGAGGGCGGACGGCCACACUGGGACUGAGACACGGCCCAGACUCCUACGGGAGGCAGCAGUAGGGAAUUGUUCGCAAUGGGCGCAAGCCUGACGACGCAACGCCGCGUGGAGGAUGAAGACCUUCGGGUCGUAAACUCCUUUCGAUCGGGACGAAUUUCUCGGGGGUGAAUAGUCCCUGAGCGUGACGGUACCGAGAGAAGAAGCCCCGGCUAACUCCGUGCCAGCAGCCGCGGUAAUACGGGGGGGGCAAGCGUUGUUCGGA
rnacentral:rRNA from 1 species